GACAGAGGGUGCAAACGUUGCUCGGAAUCACUGGGCGUAAAGGGCGUGUAGGCGGGAAGGAUAGUCAGAUGUGAAAGCCCUGGGCUCAACCCAGGAACUGCAUUUGAAACUCCCUUUCUUGAGUGUCGGAGAGGAAAGCGGAAUUCCUGGUGUAGAGGUGAAAUUCGUAGAUAUCAGGAGGAACACCGGUGGCGAAGGCGGCCUUCUGGACGACAACUGACGCUGAGACGCGAAAGCGUGGGGAGCAAACAGG
rnacentral:rRNA from 1 species